rnacentral:other from 1 species
AGUUAUUCACGUAGGGUACAGAGGUAAGAUGUUCUAUCUUUCAGACCUUUUACUUCACGUAAUCGGAUUUGGCUGAAUAUUUUAGCCGCCCCAGUCAGUUUAUGACUGGGGCGUUUUUAU